UACGUAGGGUGCGAGCGUUAAUCGGAAUUACUGGGCGUAAAGCGUGCGCAGGCGGUUCGUUAAGUUCGAUGUGAAAGCCCCGGGCUCAACCUGGGAAUUGCAUUGGAAACUGGCGGGCUUGAGUGUGGCAGAGGGGGGUGGGAAUUCCACGUGUAGCAGUGAAAUGCGUAAAGAUGUGGAGGAACACCGAUGGCGAAGGCAGCCCCCUGGGCUAACACUGACGCUCAGGCACGAAAGCGUGGGGAGCGAACAGG
rnacentral:rRNA from 1 species